GCUCUGGUCACAGACUCUCUGAACAGCU
rnacentral:piRNA from 1 species